rnacentral:rRNA from 1 species
GGAUGCGAUCAUACAAGCACUAAAGCACAGCAUCCCAUCAGAACUCCGAAGUUAAUCGUGCUUGGGUGACCUCCUGGGAAGUCUUCGUGUUGCAUUCC